AUUGAACGCUGGCGGCAGGCCUAACACAUGCAAGUCGAGCGAGCGGCGGACGGGUGAGUAAUGUCUUGGAAACUGCCUGAUGGCGGGGGAUAACUACUGGAAACGGUAGCUAAUACCGCAUACCAUCCGAUGUGCCCAGAUGGGAUUAGCUAGUAGGUUGGGUAACGGCUCACCUAGGCGACGAUCCCUCGCUGGUCUGAGAGGAUAACCAGCCAACCGGGAACUGGAACACGGUCCAGAAUCCGACGGGGGGCGGCAGGGGGGAAUGUUGCAAGAUGGGCGCAAGCCUGAUGCAGACAUGCGGCGAGUGUGAAGAGGACAUGCGGGUUAUAAGGCACGUUCAGCGAGGGGGCGUUACCCGCAGAAGAAGCACCGGCUAACUCCGUGCCAGCAGCCGCGGUAAUAC
rnacentral:rRNA from 1 species